rnacentral:lncRNA from 1 species
AUGAACAAAGCUAGUGGAGGUGAUGGAAUUCCAGUUGAGCUGUUUCAAAUCCUGAAAGAUGAUGUUGUGAAAGUGCUGCACUCAAUAUGCCAGCAAAUUUGGAAAACUCAGCAGUGGCCACAGGACUGGAAAAGGUCAGUUUUCAUUCCAAUCCCAAAGAAAGGCAAUGCCAAAGAGUGCUCAAACUACUGCACAAUUGCACUCAUCUCACAUGCUAGUAAAGUAACGCUCAAAAUUCUCCAAGCUAGACUUCAGCAAUACAUGAACCGUAAACUUCCUGAUGUUCAAGCUGGUUUUAGAAAAGGCAGAGGAACCAGAGAUCAAAUUGCCAACAUCCGCUGGAUCAUGGAAAAAGCAAGAGAGUUCCAGAAAAACAUCUAUUUCUCCUUUAUUGGCUAUGCCAAAGCCUUUGACUGUGUGGAUCACAAUAAACUGUGGAAAAUUCUGAGAGAGAUGGGAAUACCAGACCACCUGACCUGCCUCUUGAGAAAUCUGUAUGCAUGUCAGGAAGCAACAGUUAGAACUGGACAUGGAACAACAGACUGGUUCCAAAUAGGAAAAGGAGUACAUCAAGGCUGUAUAUUGUCACCCUGCUUAUUUAACUUCUAUGCAGAGUACAUCAUGAAAAACGCUGGGCUGGAAGAAGCACAAGCUGGAAUCAAGAUUGCCGGGAGAAAUAUCAACAACCUCAGAUAUGCAGAUGACACCACCCUUGUGGCAGAAAGUGACGAGGAACUAAAAAGCCUCUUGAGGAAAGUGAAAGAGGAGAGUGAAAAAGUUGGCUUAAAGCUUUACAUUCAGAACACUAAGAUCAUGGCAUCUGGUCCCAUCACUUCAUGGGAAAUAGAUGGGGAAACAGUGGAAACAGUGUCAGACUUUAUUUUUCUGGGCUCCAAAAUCACUGCAGAUGGUGACUGCAGCCAUGAAAUUAAAAGACACUUACUCCUUGGAAAAGUUAUGACCAACCUAGAUAGCAUAUUGAAAGGCAGAGACAUUAUUUUGCCAACAAAGGUCCAUCUAGCCUUGGCUCUGGUUUUUCCUGUGGUCAUGUAUGGAUGUGAGAGUUGGACUGUGAAAAAGGCUGAGCGCCAAAGAAUUGAUGCUUUUGUCCUGUGGUGUUGGAGGAGACUCUUGAGAGUCCCUUGGACUGCAAGGAGAUCCAACCAGUCCAUUCUGAAGGAGAUCAGCCCUGGGAUUUCUUUGGAAGGAAUGGUGCUAAAGCUGAAACUCCAGUACUUUGGUCACCUCAUGUGA